UUAAGCAUAUCAAUAAGCGGAGGAAAAGAAACCAACCGGGAUUGCCUUAGUAACGGCGAGUGAAGCGGCAAAAGCUCAAAUUUGAAAUCUGGCGUCUUCGACGUCCGAGUUGUAAUUUGAAGAAGGUAACUUUGUAGCUGGUCCUUGUCUAUGUUCCUUGGAACAGGACGUCAUAGAGGGUGAGAAUCCCGUGUGGCGAGGAUCCCAGUUAUUUGUAAAGUGCUUUCGACGAGUCGAGUUGUUUGGGAAUGCAGCUCUAAGUGGGUGGUAAAUUCCAUCUAAAGCUAAAUAUUGGCGAGAGACCGAUAGCGAACAAGUACAGUGAUGGAAAGAUGAAAAGAACUUUGAAAAGAGAGUGAAAAAGUACGUGAAAUUGUUGAAAGGGAAGGGCAUUUGAUCAGACAUGGCGUUUGCUUCGGCUUUCGCUGGGCCAGCAUCAGUUUUAGCGGUUGGAUAAAUCCUCGGGAAUGUGGCUCUGCUUCGGUAGAGUGUUAUAGCCCGUGGGAAUACAGCCAGCUGGGACUGAGGAUUGCGACUUUUGUCAAGGAUGCUGGCGUAAUGGUUAAAUGCCGCCC
rnacentral:rRNA from 1 species